GGUUGAUAUUCCCGUACCGGCGCUGGUGCGCCAAUGCUGAAUCUUCCUGUACUAACCUCCCGCUGAUUCCCUUUCGGGGGUUGAGGUGGUUGGGAUCUUGGGGGGUAGUAGGCAAGCGAUGGGGUGACGCAGGAGGGUAGUCCAUCCCGGGCGGUGGUUGUCCCGGGGUAAGCGUGUAGGACGACGUGUAGGUAAAUCCGCAUGUCAUGUGUCUGAGACCUGAUGCCGAGCC
rnacentral:rRNA from 1 species